rnacentral:tRNA from 2 species
GUUACAGUGGCCGAGUGGUUAAGGCGACACCCUGCUAAGUUUAUUUGGUGGGUUAGGUGUUGCGCAUUGCGUGCGCAGGUUCGAAUCCUGUCUGUGACG